AUUGAACGCUGGCGGCAGGCCUAACACAUGCAAGUCGAGCGGAUGAAGGGAGCUUGCUUCUGGUUUCAGCGGCGGACGGGUGAGUAAUGCCUAGGAAUCUGCUUGCUUGUGGGGGAUAACGUCCGGAAACGGGCGCUAAUACUGCAUACGUCCUGAGGGAGCAAGAGGGGGAUCUUCGGACCUCUCGCUAUCAGAUGAGCCUAGGUCGGAUUAGCUAGUUGGUGGGGUAAAGGCCUGCCAAGGCGACGAUCCGUAACUGGUCUGAGAGGAUGAUCAGUCACACUGGAACUGAGACGGGGUCCAUACUCCUACGAGAGGCAGCAGUGGGGAAUAUUGGGCAGUAGGCGAAAGCCUGAUACAGCCAUGCCGCGUGUGUGAAGAAGGUCUUCGGAUUGUAAAGAACUUUAAGUUGGGAGGAAGGGCAGUAAGUUAAUACCUUGCUGUUUUGACGUUACCAACAGAAUAAGCACCGGCUAACUACGUG
rnacentral:rRNA from 1 species